rnacentral:rRNA from 1 species
AGUGAACGCUGGCGGUAGGCCUAACACAUGCAAGUCGAACGGCAGCACAGUAAGAGCUUGCUCUUACGGGUGGCGAGUGGCGGACGGGUGAGGAAUACAUCGGAAUCUACUUUUUCGUGGGGGAUAACGUAGGGAAACUUACGCUAAUACCGCAUACGACCUACGGGUGAAAGCAGGGGAUCUUCGGACCUUGCGCGAUUGAAUGAGCCGAUGUCGGAUUAGCUAGUUGGCGGGGUAAAGGCCCACCAAGGCGACGAUCCGUAGCUGGUCUGAGAGGAUGAUCAGCCACACUGGAACUGAGACACGGCCCAGACUCCUACGGGAGGCAGAAGUGGGGAAUAUUGGACAAUGGGCGCAAGCCUGAUCCAGCCAUACCGCGUGGGUGAAGAAGGCCUUCGGGUUGUAAAGCCCUUUUGUUGGGAAAGAAAAGCAGCAGGUUAAUACCCCGCUGUUCUGACGGUACCCAAAGAAUAGGCACCGGCUAACUUCGU